rnacentral:rRNA from 1 species
AACGAACGCUGGCGGCAUGCCUAACACAUGCAAGUCGAACGAAACCUUCGGGCUUAGUGGCGCACGGGGGCGUGACGCGUGGGGACCUGCCCUUAGGUUCGGAAUAACUCCCCGAAAGGGGUGCUAAUACCGGAUAAUGUCUUCGGACCGAAGAUUUAUCGCCUUUGCAUGGGCCUUCGUUGGAUUAGCUAGUUGGUAGGGUAAAAGCCUACCACGGCGACGUUCCGUACCUGGUUUGAGAGGAUGAUCCGCCACACUGGGACUAAGCCACGGCCCAGACUCCUAGGCGAGGCAGCAGUGGGUAAUAUUGGACAAUGGGCGAUGUCCUGAUCCAGCAAUGCCGCGUGAGUGAUGAAGGCCGUAGGGUUGUACAGCUCGUUUACCCGGGACGAUAAUGACAUUACCGGGAGAAUAAGCACCGGCUAACUCCGUG